AUUGAACGCUGGCGGCAUGCUUUACACAUGCAAGUCGAACGGUAACAGGUUAAGCUGACGAGUGGCGAACGGGUGAGUAAUGCAUCGGAACGUGCCCGAUCGUGGGGGAUAACGCAGCGAAAGCUGCGCUAAUACCGCAUACGAUCUGAGGAUGAAAGCGGGGGACCGUAAGGCCUCGUGCGAUCGGAGCGGCCGAUGUCAGAUUAGGUAGUUGGUGGGGUAAAGGCUCACCAAGCCAACGAUCUGUAGCUGGUCUGAGAGGACGACCAGCCACACUGGGACUGAGACACGGCCCAGACUCCUACGGGAGGCAGCAGUGGGGAAUUUUGGACAAUGGGCGAAAGCCUGAUUCAGCAAUGCCGCGUGCAGGAAGAAGGCCUUCGGGUUGUAAACUGCUUUUGUACGGAGCGAAAAGGCUCUCUCUAAUACAGGGGGCUCAUGACGGUACCGUAGGAAUAAGCACCGGCUAACUACGUGCCAGCCGCCGCGGUAA
rnacentral:rRNA from 1 species